rnacentral:sRNA from 1 species
GCCAGGCGUGGUGGGGCGCACCUGUAAUACCAGCAGCUUGGGAGGCUGAGACUGGAGGAUUGCAAGUUCAAGGCCAGCCUCAGCAAUUUAUUGAGGCCCUAAACAACUCAGUGAGACCCUGUCUUUA